AUGGGUGCUAGGUUUACCUGGACUAACCGUCAGGCUGACCCGACACGCUCCAUUCUGGAUCACGUCCUAGUUUCCCCUAAAUGGGAACUCCGGUGCCCCCUGGCCUCGCUUCACGCGAUCACCCGAAUUGGGUCCGAUCAUGUCCCCCUCCUCCUUUCUUCCGCUGAUGAACGGCCUCCCACCCCACCUCGAUUCCGCUUUGAGGUCUUCUGGCUCAACUAGGUCAGGUUCGUGGAGGCGGUUCGGACUAGGUGGGCGGCGGCUAGGACCUCCCCCCACCGCUCCAUCUCCGCGGUGGACACGUGGCAGUUCUACGCCAAGCUUGCCCGACAGUUUAUGAAGGGCUGGGGCGCUAACCUCGGGCGGGACCUUCGCGAGCGCAAGAAGGCCCUCUUGUCCGCCAUCCAGGCGCUUGACUCCCGUGCUGACACCUCUGGGAUCUCCCCUGAUGAGUGGAUGCUACGAUAUGAUCUUGAGGACCAGCUAUCGGUCAUCUACACUGACGAAGAAGCAUACUGGAGGCUCCGCGGCACCCAACGGUGGGUCCUUCGCGGAGAUGAUAAUACGGCAUACUUCCAGGCGAUCGCCAAUGGGCGGCAGCAGCGGAACUCCAUCCACUGUUUAUGGGACGGAGACACCUCUCUGCACCGCCCAGCGGAUAUCCAGGUUCAUGUAGACGGCUUCUAA
rnacentral:rRNA from 1 species